rnacentral:rRNA from 1 species
UACGGAGGGUGCAAGCGUUAUCCGGAUUCACUGGGUUUAAAGGGUGCGUAGGCGGGCAGAUAAGUCAGUGGUGAAAUACCUGAGCUUAACUUGGGAACUGCCAUUGAUACUAUUUGUCUUGAAUGUCGUGGAGGUUAGCGGAAUAUGUCAUGUAGCGGUGAAAUGCUUAGAGAUGACAUAGAACACCUAUUGCGAAGGCAGCUAACUACGCGAAUAUUGACGCUGAGGCACGAAAAGCGUGGGGGAGCAAAACAGG